UCGUAACAUAACCUCGUGUAUAUAUAGUGGUACAAUUUUAUAGGAAACAUAUUGUUUUAUAUGAUUAGUACAUGAUUUUAUGCGAGAACACUCCAGUUCUUUUCUAAUAAUUUUUAACUUUGAUUUUCAAACUCUCCUGUUUGUUUGCAUUAAUAAAUAAAUUAAAUGUCCUCCAACUUCUCCUUCACGAUUUACUUUCUCUCAUUCUCCCUCUCCCUCAACUGCUGGCAGUAUCAUGCUUUCAGAUGUUAAGGGGAAAAUGGAUUAAUGCUUAAGUAUUAGAGUUCUAUUUUAUUUUCUGAAUUACAUGGUUCCUAUCUUAUUUAAUACUUCACUUGAGAUUGACUGCUUCUUGCUAUAUUUCAUUUGCAGUUAUUAGUUGUUGACGUUUAUUUGUUCUUUUAACCAGUGUCAACAUGACGAGCUCGAGGCAAAAUUUUUUGAGGUAAGAGCAGCACUUGAAGCGAAAUACCAGAAGCUUUAUCAACCAUUAUACACAAAGGGGUUUUUCUACGAUGAGAGGGGUUUUUCUACGGGGAGAGGUGCCCAAUCUAAAGCAUGCAUCGAUUCGGCUAUGCCCUCACAUUGCCAGGGAUUGGUUUUACGGUGAAGAUAAGGAACAUGACAUUAAAGUGGUUGUUCUAGGAUUGUCUGACUGUGGCCAGCUCCGGUCUAAGGGGGCAAGGAGCUGCCUAUAGAGUUGUAGGAG